UAUUUCCGGGCGUUGGAGAAUUUCAAGUGAGACUCGAAUUUCAGUUCAAACACCUAUAAAAAUAAAAUAAAAUCAACGAAAUCUAUAACAAAUAAUAAACAUUUAUUUGAUUGCGUAAAUAGUGCUAUGACAAGUACUUGAAACAAGAUUUCAAAGCGGCCGCAGCAAAGGCAGGGCACCCGGAAUGGGAUUUGCCAGACGAUGCAGGAACGUACAACGACAACCCCGAAAAAACGGGCUUCUUCGGGCCAAACGGGACCUACCAGACAGAAAAGGGAAUAUUCUUCUUGAAAUGGUACUCAAAUAAGCUAAUUGAACAUGGUGAUCAAAUUCUUGAUCAAGCCAAUAAAGUUUUCCAUGGAUGCAGAGUCAGAAUUGCUGCCAAGGUGAGUCUUGAAAUUGUUAUUUUUAUUUUUUUUAUUUUUUAUUUUUUAUUGCAUACUAAUGUAUGGGAUAAUAUUAUGUUUCUAAUUAAUUGCAUGCAUGAAAAUCGAAAACAGGUGUCUGGAAUUCACUGGUGGUACACUGACGAUAGCCACGCGUGUGAGUUAACGUCGGGUUACUAUAACAUGAAAGACAGAGACGGGUACCGUCCGAUCGCAAGAAUGAUAUCGAGACAUUAUGGUACUUUGAACUUCACUUGUCUGGAAAUGAGAAAUUCGGAGCAAUCGGCUGACGCUAAGUCUGCUC
rnacentral:lncRNA from 1 species